AGAAACACACGCACGCGCCAGUCUUGAUCAAGAUCAGCUUUCGCAUUGUAAAGCGGCACGAAUCUUCUGAACGGUG
rnacentral:sRNA from 1 species